UUCCGGUUGAUCCUGCCGGACCUGACUGCUAUCGGAUUGAUACUAAGCCAUGCGAGUCAUUGUAGCAAUACAAGGCAGACGGCUCAGUAACGCGUAGUCAACCUACCCUAUGGACGGGGAUAACCUCGGGAAACUGAGAAUAAUACCAGAUAGAACAUUAUGCCUGGAAUGGUUUAUGUUUCAAAUAAUUUAUUGCCGUAGGAUGGGACUGCGGCCUAUCAGUUUGUUGGUGAGGUAAUGGCCCACCAAGACUAUUACAGGUACGGGCUCUGAGAGGAGUAGCCCGGAGAUGGGUACUGAGACACGGACCCAGGCCCUAUGGGGCGCAGCAGGCGAGAAAACUUUGCAAUGUGCGAAAGCACGACAAGGUUAAUCCGAGUGGUUUCUGCUAAAGGAACCUUUUGUUAGUCCUAGAAACACUAACGAAUAAGGGGUGGGCAAGUUCUGGUGUCAGCCGCCGCGGUAAAACCAGCACCUCAAGUGGUCAGGAUGAUUAUUGGGCCUAAAGCAUCCGUAGCCUGCUCUGUAAGUUUUCGGUUAAAUCUGUACGCUUAACGUACAGGCCGCCGGAAAUACUGCAGAGCUAGGGAGUGGGAGAGGUAGACGGUACUCGGGAGGAAGUGGUAAAAUGCUUUGAUCUCUCGAUGACCACCUGUGGCGAAGGCGGUCUACCAGAACACGUCCGACGGUGAGGGAUGAAAGCUGGGGGAGCAAACCGGAUUAGAUACCCGGGUAGUCCCAGCCGUAAACUAUGCAAACUCAGUGAUGCAUUGGCUUGUGGCCAAUGCAGUGUUGCAGGGAAGCCGUUAAGUUUGCCGCCUGGGAAGUACGUACGCAAGUAUGAAACUUAAAGGAAUUGGCGGGGGAGCACCACAAGGGGUGAAGCCUGCGGUUCAAUUGGAGUCAACGCCGGG
rnacentral:rRNA from 1 species